CUUUUUUUUUUUUUUUUGGUCUACGUAGCUUUUAAUGUUAAACGUGAUGUCAGGUGCGUAAAUAAUUUGGACUGAAACAAACCUCGUGUUUACGCCAUUGUCAUUUUAUGUAGUCAAACGUUUAUCUACUCUGAAACUCUGAAAACCAUAUUCGUGUAGUGGAAACCUCAACCUGACGUCCUGUCGUCUCUUUGUAGCGAGUUAUCAGCGAGAAUUAUGGAUCCUGGAAAGCAAGAAGAUCCUGUCAAACCUGGACUGAUCAGCUGCUCAACCAACAAUUCUGCAGGGCACCAACCUACAGUUGGUCCUGCACUCGAGGCAACAACCACGUGGCUUACAUCAUUCUCUGCCAAAACAUAGGCGACGACCGGUGCAGACCAGAUCUCUAUGCACUGACAAAAUACAGACUCUGCUGUGCCAACACAGAUGCUGACAUCUUUGGAGAUGAUUGAUUUGCCCCGUCUGGCCAGAGAGGAGUGGAGAGGAGAGCAGAGCAGAGCUAGAGCCUCCCCGGGGCUGCAGCUUCCUGCCGCCCUGCCAUGGCACCACCACAGUGUCACUUCACCAGUGAUGGAGCCCCCAGACCCCCCCGUCUCCCAUCCCUUGUCUCCAGCAAGCUGCUGCAAUCAGCACAGGCCCUGAUUGGACUUGGGCAGGACAGAUUGGGAAGCCGUGAUGGCGGCACAGAAGUUGAGGGAGAAGCUAUUUAUCCCAGACGGAUCAGGAGGUGUGUGACGGAGGUGUGGACGGUUGCUGCAGGUCAGUGACGUUGGCAGGCGCCAGGCAGGCCAGCCCACAUGGCUCGGGGAGUGUGGGACUACAGACAGAUGGCACCUGGUGGGUGACAAACAAUUAACAAACCAACAAGAAUAGCUGGAUCGGCAGUAUACCCACAAGCACAGGAGAUAGCAAGAGAGCGGGUGCAUCUGUGCUCUGAACACUUUCACUCUUUACUUUUCCUCUUCCCGAGUCUUGUUUUGUAUAACAGUUGCAAUUUACCCAUGUGUCUUUUUCACAAAAACAGUCUUGUUGUCGUGUCGCUAUAGAACAGUCUAAAUAAAGCACUGUUGAACAUAUGCAGCCAGCAUAUGUUUCUGUUUAUUUCAGUGCAGUUUUGAGAGA